GUAACUAUAACGGUCCUAAGGUAGCGAAAUUCCUUGUCGGGUAAGUUCCGACCUGCACGAAUGGCGUAAUGAUGGCCAGGCUGUCUCCACCCGAGACUCAGUGAAAUUGAACUCGCUGUGAAGAUGCAGUGUACCCGCGGCAAGACGGAAAGACCCCGUGAACCUUUACUAUAGCUUGACACUGAACAUUGAGCCUUGAUGUGUAGGAUAGGUGGGAGGCUUUGAAGUGUGGACGCCAGUCUGCAUGGAGCCGACCUUGAAAUACCACCCUUUAAUGUUUGAUGUUCUAACGUGGACCCGUAAUCCGGGUUGCGGACAGUGUCUGGUGGGUAGUUUGACUGGGGCGGUCUCCUCCUAAAGAGUAACGGAGGAGCACGAAGGUUGGCUAAUCCUGGUCGGACAUCAGGAGGUUAGUGCAAUGGCAUAAGCCAGCUUGACUGCGAGCGUGACGGCGCGAGCAGGUGCGAAAGCAGGUCAUAGUGAUCCGGUGGUUCUGAAUGGAAGGGCCAUCGCUCAACGGAUAAAAGGUACUCCGGGGAUAACAGGCUGAUACCGCCCAAGAGUUCAUAUCGACGGCGGUGUUUGGCACCUCGAUGUCGGCUCAUCACAUCCUGGGGCUGAAGUAGGUCCCAAGGGUAUGGCUGUUCGCCAUUUAAAGUGGUACGCGAGCUGGGUUUAGAACGUCGUGAGACAGUUCGGUCCCUAUCUGCCGUGGGCGCUGGAGAACUGAGGGGGGCUGCUCCUAGUACGAGAGGACCGGAGUGGACGCAUCACUGGUGUUCGGGUUGUCAUGCCAAUGGCACUGCCCGGUAGCUAAAUGCGGAAGAGAUAAGUGCUGAAAGCAUCUAAGCACGAAACUUGCCCCGAGAUGAGUUCUCCCUGAGACUUAGAGUCUCCUGAAGGAACGUUGAAGACGACGACGUUGAUAGGCCGGGUGUGUAAGCGCAGCGAUGCGUUGAGCUAACCGGUACUAAUGAACCGUGAGGCUUAACCUUACA
rnacentral:rRNA from 1 species